GACGAACGCUGGCGGCGUGCUUAACACAUGCAAGUCGAACGGAAAGGCCCUGCUUUUGUGGGGUGCUCGAGUGGCGAACGGGUGAGUAACACGUGAGUAACCUGCCCUUGACUUUGGGAUAACUUCAGGAAACUGGGGCUAAUACCGGAUAGGAGCUCCUGCUGCAUGGUGGGGGUUGGAAAGUUUCGGCGGUUGGGGAUGGACUCGCGGCUUAUGCGCUUGUUGGUGGGGUAGUGGCUUACCAAGGCUUUGACGGGUAGCCGGCCUGAGAGGGUGACCGGCCACAUUGGGACUGAGAUACGGCCCAGACUCCUACGGGAGGCAGCAGUGGGGAAUAUUGCACAAUGGGCGGAAGCCUGAUGCAGCAACGCCGCGUGCGGGAUGACGGCCUUCGGGUUGUAAACCGCUUUCGCCUGUGACGAAGCGUGAGUGACGGUAAUGGGUAAAGAAGCACCGGCUAACUACGUG
rnacentral:rRNA from 1 species